rnacentral:lncRNA from 1 species
UGCGACCGAGACGUCCUCAUCAAAUAGCAGACUUGUUCCGACCCAAGGACCAGAUUGCUUACUCAGACACCAGCCCAUUCUUGAUCCUUUCUGAGGCGUCGCUGGCGGAUCUCAACUCCAGGCUAGAGAAGAAAGUUAAAGCAACCAACUUCAGGCCCAAUAUUGUAAUUUCAGGAUGCGAUGUCUAUGCAGAGGUAACACUAUGCCCCUUUGGAUCUUUCCUUGGAUUUGACUUCUUUUUUAAGAUUUAUUCAGCACUUAAUAAGUGCAGACUUCUGUGUGGAGGAUACAAAUGUUGAUGGGUCAGAGACUGUCAUCAAGGAGGCAGUUCAGUAUCUAAGGCUUCUAAGGAGAAUUCUGAGUUGACAGGGAAAAAUGGAAUCAAAGCAAUUGAGUUUUAACCUUUUAUCCUCAGAGGAGCCAAUUAUAUUCUUCACUUUUGC